rnacentral:rRNA from 1 species
UGAGUACGAGAUGCUACGGCGUCGAAGCAGUCUAGGUCAUACUUCCAAGAAAAGCUUGCACUGUCAUAAACAAAGAAUGCCUGUACCAUAACCGACACAGGUGGGUAGGUAGAGUAUACUAAGGGGCGCGAGAUAACUCUCUCUAAGGAACUCGGCAAAAUGACUCCGUAACUUCGGGAGAAGGAGUGCCUUAUUUUUAAGGUUGCAAUAACAAGAUCCAAGCAACUGUUUACCAAAAACACAGGUCUCCGCUAAGUCGUAAGACGAUGUAUGGGGGCUGACGCCUGCCCAGUGCCAGAAGGUUAAAGAAGUCGGUUAGCAUUUGCGAAGCUGAUAACUGAAGCCCUGGUGAACGGCGGCCGUAACAAUAACGGUCCUAAGGUAGCGAAAUUCCUUGUCGGGUAAGUUCCGACCCGCACGAAAGGCGUAAUGAUUUGGAUACUGUCUCGGAGAGGGGCUCGGUGAAAUAGACUUGUCUGUGAAGAUGCGGACUACCUGCACCUGGACAGAAAGACCCUAUGAAGCUUUACUGUAACUUGAGAUUGAAAUUGGACUUUAUCUGCGCAGUAUAGGUGGGAGGCGUUGAGAAUAAUCUUGCGGGAUUAUCGGAGCCAUCAGUGAGAUACCACUCUUGUAAUGUUAGAUUUCUAACUUUGUAUCAUUAUCUGGUCAAAGGACAGUUUCAGGCGGGCAGUUUGACUGGGGCGGUCGCCUCCCAAAGGGUAACGGAGGCGCACAAAGGUUUCCUCUGAACGGGUAGAAAUCGUAUCUAGAGUGUAAAGGCAUAAGGAAGCUUGACUGUGAGACCUACAAGUCGAGCAGGGACGAAAGUCGGUCUUAGUGAUCUGACGGUGCUGAGUGGAAAGGCCGUCACUCAACGGAUAAAAGUUACUCUAAGGAUAACAGGCUGAUCUCCCCCAAGAGUUCACAUCGACGGGGAGGUUUGGCACCUCGAUGUCGGCUCAUCGCAUCCUGGGGCGGUAGUACGUCCCAAGGGUUGGGCUGUUCGCCCAUGGAAGCGGUACGCGAGCUGGGUUCAGAACGUCGUGAGACAGUUCGGUCCAUAUCCGGUGUAGGCGUUAGAAUAUUGAAAGGAGCCUUCUCUAGUACGAGAGGUCCGAGAAGGACAUACCUCUGGUGUGCCAGUUAUCGUGCCAACGGUAAACGCUGGGUAGCUAUGUAUGGAGUGGAUAACCGCUGAAAGCAUCUAAGUGGGAAGCCCACCUUAAGAUAAG